GACGAACGCUGGCGGCAUGCCUAACACAUGCAAGUCGAACGAGACCUUCGGGUCUAGUGGCGCACGGGUGCGUAACGCGUGGGAACCUGCCCGUAGGUUCGGAAUAACUCCCCGAAAGGGAUGCUAAUACCGGAUAAUGUCUUCGGACCAAAGAUUUAUCGCCUUUGGAUGGGCCCGCGUUGGUUUAGCUAGUUGGUAGGGUAAAAGCCUACCAAGGCGACGAUCCAUAGCUGGUCGGAGAGGAUGAUCAGCCAGACUGGGACUGAGACACGGCCCAGACCCGUACGGGAGGCAGCAGUAGGGAAUAUUGGAGACUGGGCGCAAGUCUGAUACAGCAAUGCCGCGUGAGUGAGGAAGGCCUUAGGGUUGUAAAGCUCUUUUACCCGGGAUGAUAAUGACAGUACCGGGAGAAUAAGCUCCGGCUAACUCCGUG
rnacentral:rRNA from 1 species